CAACAACAACAACUACCUAAUAUAUUCCACAAGGUGGGCUUUGGGGAGGGUAAUACAUACACAUGCCUUACCCCUACCCGAAAGGGUAGAGAGGCUGUUUCCGACCGACCCUCGGCUCAGAGAAAGGGAGAGAAAAUCAAACAAACAAAAUAAAACACAUUAGUAAAUCCGGCAUAAAUCACGUUAAUAAUUAUCUAAACAUAAAACCAAGAAUAAAAUGACAUGCAAUAAUACCAAUCGUUCACUGCCAUAAGAGGCACAAUACAAGACAUAAAUCUACUAUAUAGAGCCCUACCAAACCCCACCCAGCCCCAGACAGAUGUACUAAAAAUUCUAGAAACCCCUAUCCUACAACCCUAAUACUAGAUCUCCAGAAUUUCCUAUCAAGGGCCAUGACCUUGGAAAUCCACAUUCUAGCCAUAUCCUGCCUAAUCACCUCUCCCCAAUACUUCUUAGGACUCCCUCUGCCUCGACUCGCGCCAACCACCGCCAGUCGCUCACAACUCCUCACCGGGGCAUUAGGGCUUCUCCUCCUCACAUAACAAGCGGAAGAGAAAUAAUAAAGCUACUGGGUUUAACCAAUACAAAUGUUAAAAUAGGACCACCCAGAACUGUAGUCACAGCUUCACAGACGAUCUAAGAAUACUAGAUACAAAGUCUGAAAGAUAAAUGAUACACUAUUUCUGAAAUAAGUAAAGAAAACAGGAUAAAGAGAUAGAGGUAGACGUUAAGGCCUGCGGACGCAUACAAGACUACCUUGGAUCUCCGUAUGGACUGAAGGCAGCCACCCAAGCUAAGAUCCAAAGUUGCUGCUCCGAGAUCUGCACAUAGUGCAGAGUGUAGUAUCAGCACAACCAACCCCAUGUGCUGGUAAGUGCCUAGCCUAACCUCGGCGAAGUAGUGACGAGGGUAGGACCAUACUACCAAAUAAACUUGUGCAGUUUAACAAUAUACAUCGGAAAAGAAGAACAAAAAUAUCCACUCAAGUAUGGGAGGGGGAAACAUGCUGCGGGGAAACAUCAAUUAAGAAUAAGAAGACAACAAGUAAAUAAGAGGAACACCAUAUCUCAGCUAUCAACAAGAAUCAAAAGUCAAACAAGUGCACGAUAUCACCCUUCGUGCUUUUACUCUUAUCAUCACCAAAGCAAUCAAGUCAUGAAAAUGUACAUGGCAUCACUCUUCAUGCUUUUACUCUCGUCAUCACCAUAUAAUCGGCGCGGAAUUGUAUAUCAUGCGGUAUGUCAUCACCCUUCUUGCUUUACACUCUUCCUCAUAAUUAAUACACAACAUCACCCUUCGUGCUUUAACACUCUCUCACAAAAAUAAUACACGACAUCACCCUUCCUGAUUUAACACUCUUCCUCACCCAAACAACAACCACAAAUAAUAGUACAAGGAAAUAAAUGAAAUUACGAUAAGAAUUCCGGUAAGGGAACAAUAGUUCAACAAUCAAAUUCCGGCAAGGGAACAAUAUCAAAAGAAAAUAUCAACAUCCCGGCGAGGGAGAAAGCAUUAAAAGCAACAAUAUCCCGGCAUGAUUUUCUUCUUCUUCUUUUUCACUUUUACUUCACAACUCACUUCACGACUUGAGCCAAUGCUCUAAAAGGUUGAAUUACCACUUAUACUUUCACAUUUCAUUAUACAACUUGAGCCAACGCUCCUCAACGUUCAAAUGUCACAAUUACUUUCACAAACUUUGCUCAACAAUAGAAAUCAUCACCAAGGCAUGAAUAAUACAAUGACGUCAUAAUAAUCAAAUAUAAGACUCACGGCCAUAUUUGACACCAAUGUAUAGAUAUUCGUCACCAUGCCUAUACGUUGUACUCAACAAAUACUACAUAACAAAUAAGACUCGACUCCUAAUCUCUCAAGCUAAGGUUAGACCAAACACUUACCUCAAUGACACGAACACAAUUCAAGUCUCUAUUAUUUAUUUACCUCUUGAUUCGGCCACCAAUUCGCUUGUAUCUAGCCACAAGUUUCUUAAUUACAUCAAUAAAUGCUUAUUGAAUCAAAUUCUAAUGCAUGAAAAUAAGUUUUCUAAAGUUUUACCCGAAAAUUCAAAAAUUUCCCCCGGACACACAUGGUCAAAACCCGAGGUUCGGACCAAAACCCGAUUACACGUUCCCCCACGUACCCAGAUAUAUAUUUUAUUUUAAAAUCGGACCUCAAAUCGAGGUCUAAAUCCCCAAAAUUUUAAAAACCUAGAUUUUAUCCAAAACACCAAAAUUUCCCAUGAAAAUUAUUGAUUUUGAGUUGAAAUCAUGUGAAAAGAUGUUAAGGAUUGAAGAAAAAUAGUUAGAAAUCACUUACAUUCGAUUAGGAAGAGAAAUUGCCUUUGAAAAAUCGCCCUAGAGAGUUUAUGUUUUGAGAAGAAGUGAAAAAUGAUUGAAAAUGCGUCUAAGUUAUCAACUUACAGGUUGCAGGUAUCGCAAUUGCGACUAGGGUUAGCAAUUGCGAACCCAGACUCUACUGGUAUAGCAUUGCGAAGUGACUCCCGCAUUUGCGAGGUCGUUUUUGUGAUAAAAUUGUCGCAUUUGCGAUGACUGGGCUACAACUGGAGGAUCACAUUUGCGAUAAAUUCCUCGUAUUUGCGAGGUAGGCUGGCCUUGGCUAUUCUCGCAAUUGCGACACAGUCUUCGCAUUUGCGAACUCACAUUUGCAAGAUAUGCUUCACAAAUGCGAAGCUUGCAUGCCUGCAAUAGGACAACUGAAGCCUGCAAUUUUCCCAAGUCUAAUUCUACUCCAUGGACUAUCCAAAACUUACUCGAGCCCACAGAGCUCCAAAUGAAAUAGGCACACCAACCUAAAAAUAUCAUAGGGACUCGCUCGUGCAUUCAAAUCAGCAAAAUAACAUCAACAACUAUGAAUUUAGCACCAAAAUUAUAAAAUUUCUUAAGAACUUAAAAAAUUUCAAUUCUUUCAAAUAAGGUCCAAUUCAUAUCAGUUCAAGUCAGUUUGUUACCAAAUUUCACAUACUCAUCUUAAAUCACAUAUAAGACUUGUACUGGACACUGGAACUAAAAUAUGGGCCAGUUACCAUCAAGUUUUAAAUAUAAUUCUCUUCUUUACUUCAUAAUUAAUUCAGCAAAAUAAUUUCUUUCAAAAAUUCAUUUCUCGGGCUUGGGACCCCAGAAUUCGAUUCCAUGCAUACGCCCACGUCCCAUAUUUUUUUACGGAUCCUCCGGGACUAUCAAAUUAUGGGCCUGGGUCGGUUUACCCAAAAUAUUGAGCGAAAUCAAUUUAAAUUCAUUUUAAUGGCAAAAUUUAUUAUUUUCCACAGAUUUUCGCAUAUUGGCUUUUUGGCUACGUGUUCGGACUGCGCAUGCAAAUCAAGACGAGACAGAAAGAGAUUUUUAAGGCCUUGAAAUACUAAAUUUAUUUUUAAAACAAGUGAUUACCUUUACAAAGGAGGAUAUCUAUAAAGAUAGGUUCAUUGAGAUAUAACUAUGUUAUCGAUUUGCUUGAGUAUUUUACCAAAAUAUUGUUUGUUUUCCUUCUAUAAUAUGUAUCUCAUCUCUCUCUCUUUUUUCUUGGAAGAAUAUAAUUACCAAAUAUGAAAGUGGAGCUUGUAUACCUUUAAUGAAAAUAUUCUAAUUACUGGGAUAUUAUCUCCUCGAUUGACUCCUUCUCGGAUUAUUUAAAGAACAAAUUAUACUCUAUGUCACUUGGGCCAUACAGCCCAGCAAAAAAUAGCCCAUAUUUCAUGCCUUUACUUGCUAUAGACCAUGUUGGCUAACUUAUGAAAUUAUUUUUUCACCCAGUAGCCCAUACAUUAACAUAACCGUUUUAAGAAUUUAAAUUUUUAUUUCUUUGUUGCUUUCUUCCUCACGCUUUUCUCGCUCUCUCUUUCUCUCGAUUUUCUCAGUCCAUAACCGACUCCAUUGUUGUGUUCAAGUUUCUUUUCGAGGUUUCUAUCUUAGGUUGAGGUAAUUUUCGUUUUCUUUUAUGAUUUUCCUACAAUGGUUCUUUUGAAUUUUGUUUUGAUUUUAGUUUUGCUUUUUCUGAUUAUGACAAUUUUUUUCAAUGUUGGUGUGUUUUUUCGGACGAUUUUGUGUUCCUUGUUUUUGCGUUCGAGACUUAAACUUGAUGAAACGAAAUGCAUGGUUUGUUAUUUCGAAUUUUAGGUUAAUUUUUUUGGUUUUUUGAGUUUUGUUAAAAUUUUGGGAAAAUUGGCCUUUGCUUUGAGUUUAUGGCUUUUAUUUUUGUUUAGAUUUUGAGUUUUGUUACAGUUUCAUUUGUUUGUUUUGCUUCAGUUGUGUUCAGUUUUGGUAAAGCUUUGUUUUGGCCUCUGAUUUUUGUUUAUGGCAUUUUGGGUUAACUUUUGAGUUUUGUUACAAUGAGUUUUGUGUUUGCUUUAACUUUUGUGUUUGUUUUGUUAAAGCUUUGUUUGUCUAGUUUAUUGUAGAUAAUGCGUUAAAAAAUGUCUGCUUCUAAAAACAAAAUGAAGAUUUCCGGAAAAGGCGUUCGGUUCGAUUAUGCGAAACGAUUGAGGGAGUUGCCCUCAAGCCUUGAUUCAGAAUGUAAUGUAAAUGUCCCAUCGCCGGAAGUUAAUAGCCCUGAUUUUGAUGCUGCUCCUAAAAACUUGCAAGCAGAGAGCAGUCGGAUGACUCGUUCUCAAAUGAGAAAUACUGCCUCCCCAAUUAAAUCAAGGGUGACUUGCCCUCACCCUCUUCUGAAGCAAAUAAGCGUGUGCAAGCUCCCAAUGAUGAUGAUUUCGAGUCUCCUCCUCCUCCAAAUAUAUUGCAACAAGGGAGCAGUCGAAUGACUCGUUCCCAAACAAGCAAUACUCCUACUCAUGUUAACAUUGUUAGACCAAGAAGUAAGAAAUGCAGCAAACCUACAAAAUCAACAAAUAAGCUGAAAGACGAGUUGUUUAAUGAAGAUGAUGUGAAUAAGAGAAAAGCUGAGCUGAAGGUAUUCCCUAUUUUGAUAUUUAUUUAUACAUGGUUAUACAGUUUUAUACAAACUUAUACACCUGUUUAUACAAGUACUUAUAUACAUAUAUAUACAGCUUUAUAAGAUGUGUUAGUAUAUUUUUUGUUGUUGAUAUAUUUCUUGUUAUUUUCCUAUAUGCAUGGUUGGAGAUUUCUAUAUACAACCCGUUGAUUAUUUCUACAAUAGGAUUAGUUCCCAUACUGAGCCUGAUAUUGUGAACAUUUUGAAGCAAUGUUUGACUGAUACGCAGCUUCAAAUGUUCCGUGAUAGUUGUUUUGGGUACUUCUUGGACCUCCCUCAAUUUAAGAUUCAAAUCAACUCAUUCAUUGUAUAUUAUUGAGGGAAUUCGUCCCAGGACAUGAAAGGGAGUUGUGGGUGAAGAUUAACGGUUGUUUGCUGCGGUUUGGCAUCAGAAUCAACUCAUUCAUUGUAUAUUAUUGAGAGAAGUUGUCCCAGGACGUGAAAGAGAGUUGUGGAUGAAGAUUAACGGUUAUUUAUUGCGUUUUGGCAUCGGAGAGUUUGCUCUUAUCACUGGUUUGAAGUGCGUAGACGACGAUGCCUCCUUCCAUGACAAACCAGAUGUGAAUAGAUUGUUGAAAGAGUAUUUUCCAGGAGAUGGAAAAAAGGCCAUAACAAGGGGGUAGCUUCUUGAUCGCUUUAAGCAGAAUGAGUGGAAGUCUGAUGAAGAUGCCUUCAAGAUGGCCUUGAUGGUUUUUGUCCAUCAUUUCAUCUUCUCUGAUGCCAAUAAUCAUGGUAUCACCAAAGAUGAUUUUGAUAUCAUUGAAAGUGGUCAAUAUAAGAUGUUUCCUUGGGAAAAAAAUCAUUUGAAGUUGUUUUAAGGACAAUGAGGGACAUGCAAUGCGUUUAUUUGACAAUGUAUAGGCUUGGAGGUUUGCCGCUUGCUUUACAGGUUUGGUUUUUUGAGUGUUUCUCAAUGGUUGAUAAGAAUCUAGUUGUUCGCGUUGGCACAAAUGUGCCAUGCAUUCUUAAUUGGAAAGUGACUAACAGUCCAUCAUAUGCGGAUUUGAGUGGUGGCGCGAUCAUGUGUAGUGUCGACAAGGUAAACAUUUUGUACCAUAAUACUUCUUCAUAUAUUAUUUCAGUGUUUCUAUAUUAUUCUACUGUUGUAAUCCUAUUUUCUUCUUCUUGUAGUUGAACUAUAGUAACAUUUCCCCUAGUUCUGAAGAGAUAUUCGCCUUGGCACAAAUAUGCCACGCAUUCUUAAUUGGAAUGUGACUAACAGCCCAUCAUAUGCCGAUUUGACUGGUGGUGUGAUCAUGUGUAGUGUGGACAAGGUAAACAUUUUGUACCAUAAUACUUCUUCAUAUAUGAUUUCAGUUUUUCUGUAUUAUUCUACUGUUGUAAUCCUAUUUUUUUCUUCUUGUAGUUGAACUAUAGUAACAUUUCCCCUACUUCUGAAGAGAUGUCAAGUCUGAACAUUGACACACUUUUUGAAGUCAAUGCCAAUGAUGUUACAUCAGGGGAGGUGCCUGUUGUUCCUGCAUCUCACACUGAUGAUUUUGUUGCUACACCUUCACCUUGUCCUAAUGAUGGUGCAUUAGGGGAUGUGCAUGUUGUUCCUUCAUCUCACACUGCUGAUUUUGUUGAUACACCUUUACCUUGUCCUCGGCAUAUGGAGCAACAGUCUACUAGACCUUAUCUUCAAAAUGCAAACCAACAGUUUGAACAACCUUGUCCUCAGACUACGAAGCCCGGACCUAGUCCAAGUUAUGAUCCUUUUGUGCGCCUUGAUCAUUUGAGUGAUGAAGUUGAGAAGCUGAGGAGUGAUGUUGGAAAGGUACUGGACCUUUUGCUUUUCUGUAGAUUAUAAUUACUUUUUGGUUAUAAACAUUGUUGUUUAUUUUCUUUUGUUGUAGUUGAGUGAUACAGUGACGACACUCAACAACUACGUCAUUUCUUCCUUUGAAUAUUGUUGUUUGUUUGCUUUUGUUGUAGUUGAGUGAUACAGUGACGACACUCAACAACUACGUCAUUUUUUCAUUUGGAAAAGUGUUCAAUUUUCUGGACAAUAAGGAACCCAAGCAAACAAGAGAUGAUUUUACUGAUUCAAAGGUAAUUGUUUAUUGAUAAAACCAAAUCAGUCAAUAGUUAUUCCUUCUCUGAACUCAACAUGCCUUCUCUUUCUAUUGUUUUUUAUUAGAUUCGUCAGCCCGUGUUUGAUGAUAAUACAUCUGGUCUUGGCGAAUUUGAUGGCUAUCAAUAUGAUGUUGUUCCUAACUUUGUCAAUGAAAUGAAACAAGAUAAUGUGGUAGCUGACGAGGGAGUUACUGAUGGUGUUGAUAAUAAUAUUUGUUCUGCUUUCUUUUCUGGUAUGAUUUUUCUUUUCUUUUUUUGAAGUUUUGUAUUAUUUGUGUUUCUAUUUCUAAGGGACAUCAGGUGAUGUCAAGGGUGACACAUUUUGGGAUGAUAUUGGUGAUGAAGAUUUAGCUUAGAUGUCCCAACUUGUAGUUCACAAACAAUCGAUCAUAGAAGUAGAAGAUUACAUUUCUCUUGGCCAUUCAGUUCGACAGAGAAUACCAGGAAAAUAUACCAAAUCUCCAUAUGCCAGGUUUUGAUUCUGGAGAAUCAAAAUCCGCGCCCAAGCUCAUUUUUUAUAUCAAGCAUCCUUUCACAAUCGAAAUUGAUGAUUUUGAUACAUUGUCUCCAUUGGCUAAAUAAUUUUGCGCAUUUGUUGAUAAUGGGAUGGAUACGAGGCGAAUGUAUCUUCAGUCUCUUCAAUAUUUCAUUUUCUGAUUUUAUACUUGUCAAUGAAUGUAGUUCUGAUUAGUUUUUAUUUUUGUGAUUUGAAGUGCCAAAUAUAUAUAUCCCGGUGAAGUAAAUAAUCUUGUGGAAGGUUUUACUUUUGGCUCGUGUUAUGUUACCAAGAAGGACUGGUUUCACUCACUUGUAUACUGCGUCCGUCUUUGAUUGACACGGCAUUUUAAUAAAUUUCUGUUCUAAUUACCUUUUUAUUUUUGUUGCAUAUCUUUGUUGUUUUGAGACUUGCAUAGUGUAUAAAGAUUUGUAUAAUCACAGUAUAAGACUGUAUAAGAUUGUAUAAAUAUGUAUACCUAUGUAUAAUAGUGCAUAAAGUUCUAUAUUUAAAAAAACUGGCAGUGAUGGUUGUUCGGUUUUAUUUCUUGUCUCAGCAUCUCGAUGUCUUCUUUUAUUAUUUGAGGAAGAGGGGAAAAUAUGGGCCAAGUGUUGCCAUGCGGUUUACUACAACCAAAUUUGCCUUUGGUAGCAAAAUCAACUAAAAUAUGGGCCAGGUGUUGCCAUGCGGUUUACUACAACCAAUUUGGUAACAAAAUCAACUCCCUAUACAAAGAUUUCAAAGUGAAUCAAGAUCCUUCAGUUAUUCCUGACGGGCAUGAGAUAGAAGAGUACAUCAGAGGUUAUUAUUGUGACGCAAAUGUCCCAUGGCACACUGUUGAGCAUGUCUUAUUCCGUAUCUUUGCGAAGUGCGGAAGAGCAAAAUUGGGACAUUGGGUUUUGUGGGUGUUUACGUUCGUAGAUAGAUGCAUCUACAUCUAUGACUCUAACCGUGAGGCUCUUAAUGAUAGAUAUGUUAUGGAUGCUGCAUUACCUUAUGCAAUUCUGAUACCUUAUUUCUUGAAGAGUUCUGAUUUUUAUGUCGAGAAGAAGGGCAUUGAUUUGAACAAUGGUGCAUAUACCGAUAAAUCCCAUUCUGAUGCUUUGCAGAUCAAUCUGGUUAAUAAUGUUCCCCAACAGAUCAAAUGGUAGGUUAAUUUCAAUUAUUUUACUAUUUUACUAUUAUGUACGUAUUUGAAUCUAAUUCAUUUCUUAUUAAUUACAGUGAUUGUGGUGCUUUUGUUGCUGGCUUUGCUUAGUAUUUCAUCCUUGGUAAAGAAAUUCGAAAGGAUAAUUUUGACAUCGAGACACUUCGCACCAGGUGAGGAUCUCUGUUAUGGGAUUAUGGAAGGAAAAAACAACAGUCUGGUGCAAUUAGUGAUGAUGAAAAGUGGGGAUCUCUGUUACGGGAAUAUGGAAGGAAAAAAUAACAGUCUGGUGCAAUUAGUGACGAUGAAAUCACAGGGAGACUUUUGAAGAAGAGGAAGAGGGGGAGACCAAGAAAGUAGUUCUGUUAUUUUUAUUUUACUGUAGUCGUUCUAUGUAUAACUUGCCUUGUAACUAUUCUGUUACUUGUGAGAAUACCUUAAAGGAUAUUAUAGAUGUGAAUAUAAUUUGAGGCAGUCAUUACACAUUGUUGCUGUGAAUGAAUUACAUCUUAAUAAUAUUUUCAAUUGCUUUUGUCCUUUACAUGCUAUUCGACUUUGCUUCUUUCACCAUUGUUUUUUUCCAAAUGCAUUGCAGCCUAUUUUUCAGUUGAUUUUGUCCUUUAACAAAGUAUGUAUUAUUAUUAUGGUUGCAGAUUUGUCAAUGUAGCAGGGUUUAUACAUAUGUAUACAAUAAUAUACACAGUUAUACACACUUAUACAAACUUAUACUCUCAUUUAUACAUCUGUAUACAUGUAAUACCAGUGAUUGUUUGCAGUCCUGUUAUGAAUUUCCAAAAUCUAUCAAAAUAUUUAGUACCAUUAAAAAUAGGAAGAUAAUUUUAUUGGAAAAGAGUCCUGUUUUGAAUUUCUACAAUCUAUCAAAAUAUUUAGUACCAUUAAAAACAAGAAGAUAAUAUUAUUGGAAAAGCAAAACAUGUAUAAUGAAACAUGUCAAUUUCUUGCGAAGCUUAACUAAUCAACAUUUGUAACUAUAUUAUUCUGAAAUUUAACUACUCAACAUGACAAAAAUGUAAUAGGAGUGUUUUGUUUUCAACUAUUUAUUUUGGUCGAUUCCUACAUGUUUUCCUAUUGUGACCACCUUGUCCACACACAGAACAUGAAAAUGCCCNNNNNNNNNNNNNNNNNNNNNNNNNNNNNNNNNNNNNNNNNNNNNNNNNNNNNNNNNNNNNNNNNNNNNNNNNNNNNNNNGCUUGAGUCUUUCCUUUCUUGGCCUUCCUGCAUUCCUUCUUCCUUUAGGUGGUAGGACCACAUCUUCCAUCACCUCUGUUGGGAUUACCCAUAAACACUCAUCUGGCAUCAGAUUCACUGGAAAUUGAUAAGUGCUAAGGAGUUUAUCUUUCUUGUAGUAAAAAGAGCAAUACUGGCCAGGUUUCAGCUGCUGGUUCUUCAAAACCGCCCAAGUAUGCGGACAUGGAAGUUCAUCCAUUUGAAAUUUUCCGCCACUGCAUGUUCCCUCUUCGAGGCACACUAUGUUUCUCCUUACCCCUUCAAGCACAUUAUAUAACUGAUCUAGCAGGCCUUACCUGCAAAAGUUUUUUUUAAAAAAAAUAAAAAAUUAAAGAACAGUAAAAUGCAAGUCGGUAGUGCCAAGAUUCAUUAUAUUUUGAUUCAUUUUACAGUCAUUUGCUCCGAUGCAAUCAGAUUUUCCCGAUGGAGUUUGUCGUACUUUUCGCCAAGCUCUGCAGAUGUCUCCAUUGCACUUUUUCUGUUUUUGUCAUUCUACUGUUGUAGCAAAUUAGUCAUGUACUCCAACAAUCGCAUUAUUGGUAACUCUCUAGCAUCCUUGUUAGCUGCAUUAAUUGACUCUGCAAUAUUAGAAGUCAUUACCAUUGACCUUUUCACCUUGGGAUAUGCUAUAGACCACCUUUCGUACCCAAUUUCGAACAAGUAAGGCUGCACCCUCGGAUCAAUUUUGCACAACUCUGUCAUAUGGUACUCAAACUUCUUUAUCGUGUAAGCUCUUGCCAAAGUAAAUAAGAUAUCCUUCGAUUGUUUGUGAUGUUUCUUGAAUGUGCACUUUAGCAAACUUCUCUAUCGUGUAAGCUCUUGCCAAAUCAAAGAAGAUAUCCUUCAAUUGUUUGUGAUGUUUCUUGAAUGUGCGCUUUACUUUCUGCCACAAAUGAAACAUGCAAAUACAAUGUGGUACUUCUGGGUACACAACUUUUGUGGCAUUGAAGAUGCUUUCAUUUCUAUCUGAAACUAUACACAUCCCUUCCCUAACUCCAAAAGUACCUUUUAUCUAGAGAAAGAACCCCUCCCAAUAUUUGUUAUUCUCUGAAUCCACAAUUGCAUACGCAAGUGGAAUGAUUUUUCCUAUUUAUACAUAAAUAGAUAUUAAGAUUCAGAUGGCAAAUUAGUCUGCAUAUACCAACUGCCAAAUUUAUACAAAUCUUAUACACAGUUAUACACAAUUAUACAGAUUUAUACCAACUGCAAACUUUAUAAAAACAGCAGCUGUGAAAUCCUAUACACUUUUAUACAUGAAACUUGAACAUUAUACAAACUGCAGAAACAACAUAGAUGCAGUCAACUCACCAGCUCCAUCUUGUAUGCAAGCAGUCAAUAUGGUACCUUAUAUGCUGCUUUAAGGAAGCUCCCGUCAACGACCAUUAUCAGUCUGCAAUGCUCCCAGCCCUUGAUAGAUGCAUAUAGCGAAACAUAUGCAUAAAGAAAACAUCUGUCUUCUGAUUUGUGCAACUUUGUAACAGAUCCUGGAUUUGUGUGCUCCAACAUAUAAAAAUACUUCGGCAGCUCCUUAUAUGAAUCACUCGGACUCCAUCUUAUCAUUUCCAUUGCUAUUUCUUUAGCUCUCCAUGCUUUCAUGUAGCUCACUUCAAUUCCGUGUGGCUUUUGUAUGCCCUCUAUUAUAUCAUUUGCGGUAUAAACUUUUUUUGGAUUAACAUACUUUUCCUUGAUUAUACUAGCAAUUAUACCCAAAGUAGCUUGACGUUGUGUUAAGUAUCUUUCACCAUAGCCGCAUGUGUGAUUAUUAUUGUAACUUCUCACUUUGAAUAUGUUUGUCUUGAAAACGGUAGAAGAUUUGAAACUCCAAGCACAGUUGUCAUCCAGACAUGUAAGGUGAUACCUAGUAUUAUACAUCAUUCAACUUUUAAAUACACUUGUAUACAAAUUGCAUAUAUACUAAUUUUAAUACCCUAUAUACAAAUACAUACUACUUUAUACAACAGAGUAAUGACAUACUUUGUUGCGCUUGAUCUCUUCACCUUGAAUUGGAACCUCUCACGUACAGCCAAAUUCUUCAUCACAUUCAUAACUGUCUCUUUAUCCUUAUAAACUUGAUCUUCCUCAACAAACUCGUUCAAUAUAUCAUCUAUUAUAUCCUUGUUUUCACUAAAUUUCGUGUUUUCAAUAAAUUCGACAUCAAUAAUCUCAAUGCUAUCAAUUGUGGAUACAUCUCUAGAAAUAUUUUCACUCAAUUUCGUGUUUUCAAUCAUUUCAAUAUCAAUAAUGUUAGUGCUUUCAGUUGUUGAUACAUCUCUAGAAUUUCAAUUUGUAGCAACCAAACAACUGGAGCUUGAAGCAACCACAGAACUUGUAACAACCAAAUGAUUUUCAGAAAUCUCCUUCACUGUCACAAACAGGGGAUAUUCAGUGAAAUUCAAGUUUUUUUUUCUUUAAUCCUAUAUACACCUUAACUCCUGUAAAGUUGUAGAUCGUGAUCGGUGGCAAACCAACAUUUGGCACAAAGUUAAUCUCUAUUGCGUUUAAAUCUCUAUCGAUCCUAAUCUGUUCCGAAAUAGUUGCAACUAAAUUAUUGUAGUUGAAUGUGGACUCAAUUAUUACACAAUCACUGAUGAAAUCACAAACUUGUUUUCUUCCCAUUCCCCACUGUGAAGAAGGUAAAUAGGGAAAAUCUCUAUAUAACAAAAAAUUGAAAUCAAAAUUGCUGCAAAAAGGAGAAUUGCAUUACUUCGUAUUAAAAAAAAACUGAAUAAAUUGUAGAUGAAGAAGAAAUGCUAGGGUUUUCGUACCUGCAUUUAUCGCAGGAUCUCGUUUAGAAGUAUUUUGGGAAGAAGAUUGGAAAGAAUCUGAGAAAAUCCAGUUGAAGGAGAGAAAAUCGCGGAUGGUAAUCUCAAAAUACUGGAAAUAACGUCCCUUUUCAGAUUUGGGCAUCUAAUUUGUGGGCUACACUGAAUAAGAGAAAAUCACGCUUGAUAAUCUCAAAUUACCGGAAAUAACGCCCCUUUUUCAGAUUUGGGCCUCUAAUUUAUGGGCUACUGAUUUGUAAAGUUAAAUAUGACUAUAAAGUUGAAAAGGAGGCAGCCCAAUUAUUUUAAUGUGAAAUUUUCCUUGAUUAAAGACCACAAGACUUUAGGAACUCCAUUGAUCUUUUGUCCAAAUACUUUUCACAUUUCUAAUUUUAGCAGAGAUAUAAUAAUUUCAAUUUUUUAAUAAUUUAAAAACCUAAUGGACGAAAAAAAGAGACCUACUGGACUUCCAAUUUCCAUGACCGCUAAUCACGCACCAAAUAACUAAACCCAAGAAAAAGGAGAAAAAAGAAUGUGAAAAAGAAAGAUAGAGAGAGAGUUGAUUGGUCAAACUCAGGGUCCUUUUGUUUGGCUUUUUCUUUUUAGUUUUCUCUUGUGAAAGGAUUGCUCGAUCAAAUAUUAUAAGGUUGACAAUAUAUUAGUAUAGUUUACUUAGUUUAAGUGAACUAAUUGUCCCCUUUCUGUCGUCUAUCCCAAGAGAUGUGGCAUAAUCACUCCGUUAAUUUCUAUCAAAGUAUGCUUCUUAUUUAAUUUGUCCAUUAACAGUGGAGAAUUAAUUAUUGAUCAUUUUGACCGAUCAAAGAUUGAAUAGCUUAUGCAUUAAGUUUCUGCUAUGCACAAUGUUCGAGAAGGGCUCGAUCGAUGAUCAGGAUUUGAAAUCAAUAGAAGAACUUCAAAUAUCAUUUUGUUUUCGCGAGGACUACAGAAGAUCUCUUAAAAGGAAAAAAUGAAAGUAAAAAAUCAAACAAUCGGUAUAUUUCUGAAGAAUAUCCAAGACAAUUAAACGCCUAUACAAUUUUACACGCACUAUUAACAGGUAAAAAAAAUUAAAAAAAUUAUUGUAUGAUACACGUGUUUUAAAUUAAUUUAUGGGAGUAGUUAGUUUAACAAACCAUGUCUAAUUUGUGGCUCUAGAUCUUGUCUUGUACAUGGUAACACUACCCCCACCACAUUUUAGUGCAAUUCUUGGAGUACACAGUCAACCAAGCCAUAAUUUAUUGUAGGUCUAAGUCAUUAUAGGACAUGGCCUGCAACAAAGGUCCAAUGCUACCAUGCUACAUCUUUAACACUGUGAUGCUAUGGUUAUAAUUGUAUUUUGUAUUUAAGGUAGUGGCGUAGCGAUCAAUAAGAUGAGCGAAAAAUAUGAAAGAUGAUAAUAUAAAUUUUAGUAGAGACAAAAAACAUUAAGUAAUCUCUUUAUAUCAGUCUAGUUACCUAAUAUUUGUACUAGUUAGAAGUACUUGAUAUCCGGUAAAAUAAUUUAGGUGCGAUCAAGUUGACAUGUUUACCAUGGUUAUAAAGAAAAGUCUGCAUUCUUUAAUAACGUCCAUCCCCUAGAAGACAACGUUCCCUCUUAAGAACAUAACGCUAUAGACUUUUGGAUUGUUAAUUUCUCAUAAAGUAUGCACAUGCAUCUCUUUAAGAACACAUAACUAACUCUACUGGACUUUUUGCACCAAUUCAUAAAUCUUGUUUAACAUGAGUGGUUGAACUGCACACUUCCUAAUAGUUCUUUCUUUGAAAAAAUUGGAUCAAAAUUUAACUUCUUUCUAAUUUUUUUGGGUCGAUAUUAUUUUGAUGCAUUGAUUAUAAUUCUUCAAAUAGUUCAUCAACUUUUCAGCCAAGGUUCAUAAAUAGUUAGAAAUAUUUAUUUCUAAUACAACUAUAAGUAUAUACGCCAACAAUUUGUAGGUUGUGGUCGCAUUGAUCAUAAAUCCAAAUAAAGAAUGGAGGCACCUAUCAAUACAUUUUGAAAUAAAUAUGAGUAAAUACAAAGUAGUAAAAAGCAGAAAAUGAGGCAGAAGAGGAAAAUAUAUAGAGUGGGAUGUGCCAUUAUUUUCAACCAACUCAACUGCCAAUUACUUCCCCACCCAUCCAAAUCCAAUUAGCAAUCCACCUUCUUUUUCUUUUAAUUUCCAUGUAUGCUUUUAAUUAGCAAUCCACCUUCUUAGAACCACCGUUUAAUUUUGAUGUUGAAUCCUAUGUAAUCAACCACAAGAGUGAAUAAUAUGUUUUUGUAAAGCAUCUAACUACUGAUGCUUGUAAUGCAUUAGCUUCACUAGGGAAUCAAUGUGCCCUAACUGACACAAACAAUAUCUGUAAUAUUUUACUUCUACCAUAGUACUAAUAUAAAAUAUUUUGUUCCGGUUAAAGAAAAAUUAAGUAUGAUGAAGUGAUAUGUAUCUUCACUUAAAGCUGUAUUGACAUUAGUCUACUAAACAAUAGAUGAAAGAGUUAGGCACAUGGUAUGUCCCCCACCCUUUGAAUUGCCACUCUUUCCUCCCCGCUUCCAAUUUUCCCUUCAUCUUCUCACUCCUUUUCUUCUUCUUCUUCUUUAUAUUAGUUUCUCUUUUUCUUCCCCUUUUUUUAAAGUUUCAAUGGCCUCUUGUUUGGUAAGAAGGAGUGGGCCGAGAGAAAAAGCCCCCCGGGUGUCCUUUUCUUUUUAUUCCGCAACCUCAAAUACACUACUAGAACUCCGGAAAAAAACAACCAAAAUUUAGCGAUCAAUAUUGGUCUGCGGCAAAAAACGAUCAAAGUUGGUCGCUAAACCAGCGAAAAUAAUAAAAUAAAUAAAAAAAUAAAAUAGCGACCAAAAUUGGUCUCUAAACUAAUCAAAAUGUUGACUGAACUGGUCAUACUUGCUAGGUCAAAUGUUUACUGAGAUUAGCGACCAAUGUUGGUUGAUAAAGAGGGACCCACCUAAAAAAUAAUAAUUAUAUUAUUAUUUAAAAAAAAUAUAAAAUAUAAAUAUAUAUAAUAUAAAAUUGACGACCAACGUUGGUCGCUACUUAGAGGGUAGGCAGAUAGCGACCAACUUUGGUCACUUAAAUGGGACCCAGUUAUACAAUAAUUAUAUUAUUAAUUUAAAUAUUAUAUAAAAUAUAAUUAAAUCUGAUUUAAAUUUAGCGACUAAAUUUGAUCGCUAAAUUAAAUUCAUGAAUAAAUAGCGGCCAAAGUUUAUCUCUAUUUAGGUCAAGAAUGGUCAAAAUUAUAAAUCACUUUCUUAUUUACUAUCUAAAUAAGUUGGUCUUUAUUUAGGUCAAUAAUAGUCAGUAUUAAAAAUCACUUUUGUAUUUACUAUCUAAAUAAUAUAAAUGUAAGUCGUUAAUACUUUUGUAUUAGGUAAUAUUGUAUCGAAUAUAGCUUAUAUAUAUAAUAUAUAUAUACUUACGCUAUAUUAUGCACUGAGUAUAAGUGUAUUAAGUAAUACAUUAUCGAAUAUAUAUGUAUCUUUCACCAUAGCCGCAUGUGUGAUUAUUAUUGUAACUUCUCACUUUGAAUAUGUUUGCCUUGAAAACGGCAGAAGAUUUGAAACUCCAAGCACAAAAGUGUAUUAGGUAAUACUGUAUCGAAUAUGACAUAUAUAUUUAAAUAUAUAUAUUUUAAAUUUAAUUUAAAUUAUAUAUAUAUAUAUAUAUAUAUAUAUAUAUAUUUAUUUAUUUAUUUUAAAUUGAAUUAUAAUUAGUUUAAUUUUUUUUUGAUAUAGCUACCAAUGUUGGUCGUUAUUCUAGUCAAACGGUCAGAAUUUAGCGACCAACUUUGGUCGCUAUUUUGGUCAAAAUAGUCAAUACACAUUUGCUAUCAAAUUUAGUGACACGUGGUUGGUCACUUUUAGUAAAAACAGAGUUAAAAAACAUGUUUUCCCUAACAUUAUCUUAUUUUCUUCAAAAAAUUUCUAAACCCUCUCUUCUCUCUCACAUACUCAAACCCCACCUCCUCUUCCGUCUCCCUCCAGCAGCAGCGCCACCGACGCCCGCCGGCGGCAGCAGCUCUGCCGGUGUCCUCCACUGCCCAGGUAAGUUUCUCUCUCAUUUCUUUAUUUUUUUAGAAAUAUACUGGCUUUAAUUUUUUUAAUUCCUUCUAGUUUGAACCCUAAAAAUUAAUUGUUCUUAACUAAAUUAAAUCUUUGAUAAUUGUUAGUAGCUAAAAUAUUUAGUUUUACCUACUAAUUUGGGAAAGAACUGGUUUGAAGAGAAGAAACCCUAAAUUUUUAGCUUGUACAUAUCAGACUUGGAAGAAAGUUAAGUAACAAAACUUCCUAUAAUCUUUGUCAUCAUAGAGUCUUAUGAUCCACGUUUCAUGGGAACUGCCACGACCGACGUAAAAUAUUCCAUCUCCAUCAACCUUGUCGUUAUCAAUCAAACUUCUUUUCCUCUUGGAAAGUGAAGUAGAGAAUUUCUCUAUGACCUCUUUUUUAUACUUAGGAAAUGUUAAAUCCUAUCUACACCAUCACUAUUUUAAAACACAUGUCGUUGCACUCUCAUUAUCAUUGUAGCUAAUAAAAUCAACAAUUGAUCAAAGACGCACCCUGUCAGGUACUGUAUCCUAGUUAUUCUCUCUAUCCAAGUUCAUCCCGAGUCGUAGUACCACGAAGAGGUUGAUGACGUUAUUAGAAAUGCAAUAGAACUUCCACCAAGAAUAACUAAGACACAGUACCUAGUGGAAUGUGCCUUUAAUUGUUCUUCUCAUUAUAGCGACAAUGAUGAUGAGAAGGCAAUGGAAUGUGUUUCAAAUAGUGAUGGUGUAUGUAGGAAUCUAAUAUUUUCUAAGUAGAUAAAAGAAGAGCUUAUAGAGGAAUUAUCUUCUUCACUUUCCAAGAGAAAAAUAAGUUUGAUUUAUAGUGACAAGGUUGAUGAAGACGGAAAGUUUUCCGUUGUUCGUCACAAUUCCCAUAAAAUGUGGAUCUUAAGACUCUAUGAUGACAGAGAUUAUAGAAAGUUUUGUACUCAACUUUCUUUCGAGUCUGAUCCGUACAAGCUUAAUGUGAUAUUGGUGAUAUUUCUUCGGAUUUAGAUAAUGAUUUGACCGACAAAAGUAUGAAAAUGCCGUACAAGCUUAAUGUGAUAUUGGUGAUAUUUCUUCGGAUUUAGAUAAUGAUUUGACCGACAAAAGUAUGGUAAUGCUCUUAAAAAAAUUAAAGGUAAAAUAUUUCUCAGCAUCCUUCUCUACCAAGAAAAAUAUUUUACCUUUAAUUUUUCUAAGAGCAUUAUCAUACUUUUGUCGGUCAAAUCAUUAUUUGAAUCCGAAGAAAUAUCACCAAUAUCACAUUACGCUUGUAUGGAUCAGACUUGGAAGAAAGUUGAGCAUAAAACUUCCUAUAAUCUUUGUCAUCAUAGAGUCUUAAGAUCCACGUUUUAUGGGAACUGCGACGACCAACGGAAAACUUUCCGUCUUUAUCAACCUUGUCCUGUAAAUCAAACUUCUUUUCCUCUUGGAAAGUGAAGUAGAUAAUUUCUCUAUAACCUCUUUUAUUUACUUAGGAAAUGUUAAAUCCUACAUACACCAUCAUUUUUUUGAAACACAUGUCGUUAUCUUCUCAUUAUCAUUGUAGCUAAUGAGAUCAACAAUUGAUCAAAGACACACUCCGUUAGGUAUUGUAUCCAAGUUAUUCUCUGUGUCAAAGUUCAUCUUGAGUAAUAGUACCACGAGGAUAAUCACCAAAGCCUCCAGACAACUUUAUGAUACCAAUGAAGCAAGAUGAGCUAUUCAAUGAAACACGUAUGGUAAAGAAGGAAAAAAAGACUAAUUCACAAAGGAGGGUCGAGCCUCGAGUACAUACAUGUAAGUUUUUACUUUUCAUUAAGUAUUUUGAUUUACUUUUAUAUAAAUUUUAAAAUACUAAUUCAAUAAAAUUUUUCAUAUAGGUUCGCUUCACAGCUGAUGUGGGGGAUUUCAUACGCACUCAACCACCUUAUGAACCAGGCGAGGCAAUCCAACUUUCGGACGAGGAUGCUGAAAGAACACCCCUUCAGUACUUUAUAUACUUUGAACAAGACAAAAAUAUAGUUCUAUUGUGUUAGUUCUCUUUAGUUCGAAUGGGCUUGUGAUAAGCAUUAACUUAGUUUUGUUAGCUUAAUGUGUUAGUUCUAUUGAACUUUAUACUUUGUUGCUUUAAUUGUUGUUGUUGUCAGCAUAAAAUGCAUGUUUAGGAUGUUUGGUAAGCUGGCAGGUGGUGUAGCUGCCAAAACAAGCAGUUUCUGCCAAAAAUAUACCAAGAAAAGCGACCAACCUCGGUCUCUAUUUGGUCGCUUUUCAGUUAAAAGAAAAAUAUUUCUUGGAAAUAGCGACCAACCUUGGUCGCUACUAGGGGUGUACAAAGAAAACCGAUAAACCGCACCAACCCGAUAAUCCGAAUCAAACCGAGANNNNNNNNNNNNNNNNNNNNNNNNNNNNNNNNNNNNNNNNNNNNNNNNNNNNNNNNNNNNNNNNNNNNNNNNNNNNNNNNNNNNNNNNNNNNNNNNNNNNNNNNNNNNNNNNNNNNNNNNNNNNNNNNNNNNNNNNNNNNNNNNNNNNNNNNNNNNNNNNNNNNNNNNNNNNNNNNNNNNNNNNNNNNNNNNNNNNNNNNNNNAAUUUUAGAUAUAUUUAAUAUAUAAAUAUACUUAUUGUAAUGUAAUUUAUAAAUAUUUCUUUAAAAAUUUCAUAAUUUUAUCUUUUAAGGUAUUAUUUAGGUUUGAUUUAGAACUUCUGAAUGCUCCAAUAAGUUUUAUAGCCAUUAAUAUUAGUAAAUUAAAUAAUGCUAGUAAUCAAUACUAAUGCUAACAAAAUACAUGCCAUUAAUAUUAGUAAAUUAAAUAAUGCUAGCAAUCAAUACUAAUGCUAACAAAAGACAUUCAAUUCAAUAUUAUGAACGAGAAUGUACUAAAUGUCUAUUUUUUAUUUUGCAAUAAUUUAAAUAAAAAUACAUAACCUAUUUUUUAUUUUUCUUUAGCUUUUAGGCAUAUAAUUAAUAGUCCCUCAUUAGUCUAUCUAGUUUAGCAUGAAUUAGUGCUUUUAGAUUAUUUUUAGUUUUAUUAUGACUUUUUAAUUAGAAAUAUUUAUAGUACAUAAUUUUAUAUUUUUUAUUUUUGAAUAUUUUAGGAUAAUUGACAUAUCUCAUAUUUUGUAUUAUUUUCUUGAAAAAUACUUUAUAUAGUUGUAUCUUACUAGGAUUAAAGAAAUAUUUUGAGCAUACGUUAUAUAUUUUGUUCUACAAAUAUUUUUUUGGAAAAAAAUUCGAAAAAACCCGAAUAACCCGAGAACCCGAGAAAAACCGAUAUUGAAAAACACGAAUUUAUUGGUUUGGUUUGGUCUUUAGAUUUAAUAACCCGACACAAUUGGUUUGGUUUGGUAAUUGUAAAAUCCGAACCAACUCAGUCUAUGUACACCCCUAGUCGCUACCUACCCAGAUUUUCCAAAUUAAUAACCAAACUUGGUCGCUAUUCCAUUAAAAAAAUAAUUUCUGGAAAUAUAGCGACCAAUUAUGGUCGCUUAUCUUUAAAAAAUAAAUUAAAUUAUUAAAUUUAGCGACCAACUUUGGUCUCUAUUAUCCAGAUUUUAAAAUAUAAUAUUUGGAUUAGAGACCAAAAUUGAUCGCUUUUUAAUAAUUAAUAAUAAAUAAUAAAACGUAUUUCAUAGUUAGAGAUCAACUUUGGUCGCCAAAUUUAUACUAUUAAAUGAAUAUAGCGACCAAAGUUGGCCACUGUAGUCAAAAUCGGAAUAUUUGGCCCUUUUAGCUUAGAGACCAGAGUUGGUCGCUAAAUAGCUACCAACUUUAAUCCCUAAAUAAAAGGGACCAUCAUUAUAGCUACCAGACGUGUUUGGUCACUUUUUGAUCGCUUUUUGUGAUCGUUUUUUUUCUAGAUUUUUAAUGGUGAUACAAGAUAAUGAGUGAUUAUUUUAUUUACUCAAAUGCAACUCGAACUUUUAACUUAAAUUUUAGAAUUAGAGGCGUCUAAUUACUUGUCAGCUAGUUUGUUAUUUUUGUCUCUAAUAUGAGAUCUAGCCGUAUUAAUUAAAGUUUCUAGUCGAGUCAGUGAGUUUCAAAUUUCACAUUGUCAUAAGGAAAAACUUCAAUUUUUUAGAUGAAUUGUGAAAGCGUUGUUAGCUAUGUUUACCUUAAUUUAAGAAGAACAUACUUUCCUACCUUAUACGAGCUCACUAGGGUAUAGAUAACCCCAUAUUCUUGAGUCUUAACCAUUGAAUAGAGUAAAUUUAACACUUGACCUGACAAAAGAAAAAAUACUACUAGUAAAUUGCCCCCAAAAAAGAAAUUAGUUGUCAAAUUUAUGUGACAUUGGAUUGUCAAUUGAGUUAUUGUAGUGGGAAUUUUGACCUUGGAUUACUUACUUGGAACCUACUACCUCGGGAUCCUUUACCAUAUAUAUGUUGCGUAAACCCUAAAAGCUUAAAGUUAUAUUCUUUAGAAUCAUUACUGAUUUUGUUAUGUUCUUGAAAAGUUAAUUCAUUUAAAAUUAUGAAAAGAAAAGGAAAACUGCGAUCUUUCAGCUAAAACACAAGGAUUACGCUUUGAGUCGCAUGACUGAUUCUUAAGGAUAAAGUUAAAUGCAUAUAAUUGUAGUUUUCUGCAAGUGCAUAUAUAAUAAACGUACGGCUCCAGAGAAAAUUACAAAAACUAAAGAAAUACAAAUGAUAAAGAGGAAAUCAGUAUUUAGAAUUAUAUAUUAUGUACGCUUAUAAUUUAAGAAUUUUAGAAUAUUAAUUAAUUUUGAUUACUCUUAUAAAUGAUUAUAUGCGUUAUUUCCGACUAUCAAAUUCACUUACUGUAAAUAGUUACUCGUAUUUUUAAGUGAUAUAAUAAUUCUUUUACUGUAUCAGAAAUUAAACCCUACAAAUUAGAAACAUCCAUCGAACAAAUGAACCCUUUAGCUAAAGUGCUCUAAUUACGGAAGGGACCACUUUCUUCCUCCAUUUUUCCUGUCCCCAUUUGCACCUAAUAAGCAUGAAAAUUGGAGGGAGAGAUAAUCACUCCCAACUCAAAAAUAAAGGAAAAAAAUAUUUAAAAAUUGGAACUAGUAAGAAAUUCAAAAAAAGAAAAAAAAAAGUUACACACACAAAAGAGAGAUAAAGGGUCUCUAUAUAAAGACAGUCCAGUGGAAGUUCACAGCCAUAGAGGAAUUACACAUCUCUCUUAUUCUUUUGCCUAUUCAAAAUGGCACCCAUUGCCAAACAUUUCUCCCUUAUCUUCCUCCUUAUUCUUUUGUCUUCUCUCCAAAUUCAUGCAAGGGACGGUCAAUUCUUCAACAAAGUCUCUAGAAACAAUGGUGAGAAACAGACACAAACAGUUAUUCCAAACAAAGAACAAGAACCUAAUUUCAUGCCAGAGAAUGAAAAUGGAGCCUAUGGUCAUGACUCUGUCACCACUCCUAACACCAACAACCCCACUGUCCACGAUCUUCCUAUCAGCAAAUACCUUCCUAAGAAUUACAAUCCUGUUUCAUAUGUGACUGUCCCUGAGGACAACACUAAUGAAAAUGAUUUGAACAACAAUGAGUUCACAACCAAACACACUACCACCACCACCACUGCCUCUAAUAACAACCAAUUCUACAGUGGUCCCACUGCUUACGGUAACAACAACAACAAUAACCAACAACAGUACUAUAACGGCGUUAGCGAUUAUAGUACUACGAGCAACAACCAGCAGAAACAGCAGCAGUUCUACAGUGGCGACAACUUUUACAGUAACAACCAGCAGCAACAGCAGGACUACAACGGUGGCAACACUUACAACAAUAACGACAACAACAAUGAAGAGGAGGAGGAGUACUACAACAACAAUGGUGGUAAUACUUACAACAACAACAACAACGAGCAACAGGAGUUUAGUGAAACAAGAUUAAGUGCUAGAACUUACAGCACCAACCCAACAAAUUACGGAAACAAUUACAACAACAACAAUCAAGAACAGAGCUACUCCACCAACUACAAUAACUACAAUACUGGCAAAAGUAAUUACAGAGUGCACCAGCAGCAAGGGAUGAGUGACACAAGAUUCUUGGGAAAUGGGAAAUUCUAUUAUGAUAUCAACGCUGAGAAACAUGCUAGGGAUCCAUAUGAAAAUGCAAGAGAAAUUUGCUGCAAUUAACCAACAGUACAACAACAGGAACACCUGUGGAAACAAUGAAUACAACACCAAUAACAACAAUUUUGAGAAUGUACAACAACAGGAACACCUAUGGAAACAAUGAAUACAGCACCAACAACAACAGUUUUGAGAAUGAAGAGGAGUUCCAAGUUGAAGACAACAUGCCUUGAGCUAUUGUUCAACACUUUGAUGAAAACAAAAAAAGUAUCAACAAUAACAGAUUUGAGAAUGAAGAGGAGUUCCAAGUUGAAGACAACAUGCCUUGAGCUUUUGUUCAACACUUUGAUGAAAACAAAAAAAAAGUGAACAUAGUGAGCCAAAAGGAAUGUUAUGUGUCCCACAAUUAUCAUUGAUGUUGUUUUCCUUUUUUUAUCUAAGUUAUAUUUUAUUAGCAAAAUGUUAAUUAAACUACAGAGUUAUUUUUGGGUGUUUUAUGUAUAAUUAUGGUGAAUCUCUACUGAUAUAUGGCUAUGAUUAUAAGGAAUUGUAUUUUUAAUGUGGUGAAAUCGACAGUGAAAAAAAUUGUAGUGAUAAAAAAUCAUUGUGUCAACUAGCUUAUGCCUGUAAGCAAUCUAAUGUCAGUCUGGGUAUUUUACUAGUCUGAAGUAAAAACUGGGCCUAUAAUUAUGUCGCCUAUAUAAUAUUGACCGGAUUAGUAUAAUUCUGCUAGUCUACCAGUGAGAGUGAAGAUGC
rnacentral:lncRNA from 1 species